rnacentral:rRNA from 1 species
GUCCGGAUUUAUUGGGCGUAAAGAGCGUGUAGGCGGCCAGGUAGGUCUGCUGUGAAAACUCGAGGCUCAACCUCGAGACGUCGGCGGAAACCAUCUGGCUAGAGUCCGGAAGAGGAGAGUGGAAUUCCUGGUGUAGCGGUGAAAUGCGCAGAUAUCAGGAAGAACACCCGUGGCGAAGGCGGCUCUCUGGGACGGUACUGACGCUGAGACGCGAAAGCGUGGGGAGCGAACAGG